rnacentral:ncRNA from 1 species
AACUUUGUUAUGAUUUGACUCCAAGAAACCUAAACACUUGCAUGGUAGUUAUUCAUGAAUAAAACCCAGCCAGGAAUAUUAAACAAUAUUUGAAAUAAUAAUUUAAUUUAGGUUAAAUUUUGACUAAAUUAGGUGCCAGCAGUCGCGGUCAGACCUAAAAAGUCUUGGAAAAAAUAGAGUUUGAUUUAAGGAAAAAGUAUAAUAUUUAGUGAAAUGAAAUUAUACUCUAAUUCUUCUCCUUAAACUAUUCACUAAAGGUAUUAAUAAACUAGGAUUAGAUACCCUACUAUUAGCCCUCAAGAUAAAUUCUAAGUACUACAGUUUUAAAACUAAAACUUAAAUAACAUGGCGGCGAGCUUAAAUUUCAGAGGAACCUACCAGAUAAAUGAUAACCCGCAAAAUAUUCUUACUUUACCUAAAAGUUUAUAUAUCGCCGUUUAGUAAUCUUUCGAGAAGGCUACAAAAUGUAAAAUUACAAAAAAACAGGCCAUGACAUAGCAUAUGGUAAAGACUUGAGGUGGGUUACAAUAAGAAUUUUUUUCAGAAAUUUGUUUAAAGACAAAAACUAAGAUGGAUUUGAAAGUAAUAGUUAAAAUAAAUAGAUAAUGAAUUUUUCUAAGUUCGUGUACAAAUCGCCCGUCACUCUCAUUGUAACAUGAGAUAAGUCGUAACACAGUAGAGGUACCGGAAGGUGUCUCU